rnacentral:rRNA from 1 species
GGACUACUAGGGUAUCUAAUCCCUUUUGCUCCCCACGCUUUCGUGCCUGAGCGUCAGUAACUGUCCAGGAAACCGCCUUCGCCUCUGGUGUUCCUCACGAUAUCUACGCAUUUCACUGCUACACCGUGAAUUCCGUUUCCCUCUCCAGUACUCUAGCCGUGUAGUUUGAGGUGCAAUUCCGAUGUUAAGCAUCGGGCUUUCACGCCUCACACACGCGGCCGCCUGCGCACCCUUUACGCCCAGUGAAUCCGAAUAACGCUUGCAGUCUCUGUAUUACCGCGGCUGCUGGCAC